rnacentral:tRNA from 1 species
GGCACAGUGGCGCAGUGGGUAGCACUUCCGCCUCACAGCAGACGGCCUGGGUUCGAUUCCCGGCUGGGGCA